ACGCAGCGAACUGCGAUAAGUAAUGCGAAUUGCAGAAUUCAGCGAGCCAUCGAAUCUUUGAACGCACAUUGCGCCCGCCAGCAUUCUGGCGGGCAUGCCUGUCCGAGCGUCAUUUCCUCCCUCACGCAGCGCGCCUGCGUGGUGUUGGGGUGUUCUGCGGCCAGGCCUGCGCCCA
rnacentral:rRNA from 2 species